CAUGAUAUCCAGGCUACAGAAUGGCCAGGCCAGGGUUCAGGGAGCUUCAGGGUUCAGACAGCUGAGCCCCACCAGAAGAGAAAUUUAGCAACUUGGACACACGGCUGUCAAUGCCACCUGGGUGGCAGCUUCAGCUGUCAGUCUAAAGAGGGCUCUGUGUCCCACAUGUCGCCUUCAAGGAUACAUCCCACCUGAGCUGCCAAGGGACAGAGAUCAUCAGAAGGUCCCAUGUGAAGCAUCCUCAGCCAUGUCUCCGUGUGUCUCGUUCAGAAGGUCCCGUGUGAAGCAUCCUCAGCCAUGUCUCCAUGUGUCUCGUUCAGAAGGUCCCGUGUGAAGCAUCCUCAGCUUUGUAGACCCGGAGGAUGACAGCCUGGAGAAAGCAACCAGCUUGGUUACACGCUCCCUGCCUCGUCAAGGUGACCAGGGGGGUGAAACCUCCAGAGCACUGUCACAAUAAAUCUGUCAUCAUGCAA